rnacentral:rRNA from 1 species
AUUGAACGCUGGCGGCAGGCCUAACACAUGCAAGUCGAGCGGAUGAAGGGAGCUUGCUCCUGGAUUCAGCGGCGGACGGGUGAGUAAUGCCUAGGAAUCUGCCUGGUAGUGGGGGAUAACGUCCGGAAACGGGCGCUAAUACCGCAUACGUCCUGAGGGAGAAAGUGGGGGAUCUUCGGACCUUCCGCUAUCAGAUGAGUCUAGGUCGGAUUAGCUAGUUGGUGGGGUAAAGGCCUACCAAGGCGACGAUCCGUAGCUGGUCUGAGAGGAUGAUCAGUCACACUGGAACUGAGACACGGUCCAGACUCCUACGGGAGGCAGCAGUGGGGAAUAUUGGACAAUGGGCGAAAGCCUGAUCCAGCCAUGCCGCGUGUGUGAAGAAGGUCUUCGGAUUGUAAAGCACUUUAAGUUGGGAGGAAGGGCAGUAAGUUAAUACCUUGCUGUUUUGACGUUACCAACAGAAUAAGCACCGGCUAACUUCGUG